AGUGAACGCUGGCGGUAUGCCUAACACAUGCAAGUCGAACGGCAGCACAGUAAGAUCUUGCUCUUACGGGUGGCGAGUGGCGUACGUGUGAGGAAUGCAUCGGAAUCUACUUUUUCGUGGGGGAUAACGUAGGGAAACUUACGCUAAUACCGCAUACGACCUACGGGUGAAAGCAGUGGAUCUUCUGACCUUGCGCGAUUGAAUGAGCCGAUGUGGGAUUGGCUAGUUGGCGGGGUAAAGGCCCAGCAAGUGGACGAUCCGCAGCUGGUCUGAGAGGAGGGUCAGCGACAUGGGAAGGGAGACACGGUCAAGACUCCUAAGGGAGGCAGCAGAGGGGAACAGUGGACAAUGGGCGCAAGCCUGAUCCAGCCAUACCGCGUGGGUGAAGAAGGCCUUCGGGUUGUAAAGCCCUUUUGUUGGGAAAGAAAAGCAGCAGGUUAAUACCCCGCUGUUCUGACGGUACCCAAAGAAUAAGCACCGGCUAACUUCGUG
rnacentral:rRNA from 1 species